GCAAACUUGGUCAUUUAGAGGAAGUAAAAGUCGUAACAAGGUUUCCGUAGGUGAACCUGCGGAAGGAUCAUUACAGUAGUGGAGCUUCGGCUCCAUUAAGAUGAAACCCUUGCCUUUUUGAGCACUAUUUUGUUUCCUCGGCGGGCUUGCCUGCCAAUGGGGAUCUCCAAACCCUUUGUAAUGAAGCAGUUGUCUGAUAAUAAAUCUAAUAUCAAAACUUUCAACAAUGGAUCUCUUGGUUCUGGCAUCGAUGAAGAACGCAGC
rnacentral:misc_RNA from 1 species